rnacentral:lncRNA from 1 species
ACACAGUGACGUAGUAAUAAUUGUGCACUUCCUAAGGCUUCCACUAGAUGUCAACAGUCUUUAGAACGUUGUUUGAGGCGUCUACGAUGAACAGAGACCGAAUGAGAAAGCUGGGAAGUCGGUCACCCAGGGAAGGACAUCACUUCAUUGGCACGCCUUCACGAGAGAGGUAGCUCUGUUCCAAAACGUUUUUCAAGACACAGGAAUGGUCCGGUUGAAAUAUUACUGAAUCUUCACGUUCUAAAGGCCCUAAAGAUUGAUGUUUUACAACGUUUGGCAUGUUUGAACGAACGUAAAUACAACUUUUUUUUACUUUUCGUCAUCACAUUUUCCGCGGGCUUCCUACAUUUGGAGUAGCUGAACUGAACGCGCAAACAACAAGGAAUUAUUUGGACAUAAAUUAUGGAGUUUAUCGAACAAAACAACAUUUAUUGUAGACCUGGGAUUCCUGGAAGUGCCUUCUGAUGAAGAUCAUCAAAGAUGGGAUACGGCAGUGUGCAGAGGGAUGGCGAUUGUAUCAUGCGUGGAUCUAUUUGAAGAGUAUGCGAAUUGCAGUGGUUCUAGGGUGUCGGCACCCCAGCAGAAUGGGAUAACCUCAGCACAUAAGGACGGG